CUCAUCUCCGUCAACAGCAGCUACAUUUAAGCUAACAGUUAAGGUGUGAGUUGCAAGAGUUCAGACCACUCGGUGGGCGCUUAAAUACAACGGGUUAAUAAGGACUUAAAUCCGGCGUACACCACGCCAUUUUUAGCCCAGUUUUAACCCUAAUUUUACCCUUCAGACCAAUGGCCAAGAGAGCAAACGGACCCCUUCUCGCAUAGCACGUACUACAGCGACUGAAGAAAGACUCGCUGCAGUGUGUCACUCUGAUUCACGCGAGGUGUUGGGGUGUGGGAGAUUUUUCAUGCGUCCCUCAGAAGGGUGAUAUUUUUCUAUCCGUUACGAUUGUCAAAAUCCUGUAGCGUUACAGGUCUUAGUCAAACGAAACUUCUCGCGAAGCGAAAAUCGAAAGAAGACGGCGUCGUUUACGUCUAUAUGACGUAUAACCUUGGCGCGAGCAUGCUUUGUGAUAAACGGAGAAGAGAAUACAUGAUCGGUCCUUUCUAUACCUACAGACUUGUCUGAUGAAGAAACGAGUUGAUCGAGCGCGGAUCAGCUUGCAGUCUGCUGGAGCAAGCAUCUUCCUGUUGCCUGCAAGCCGCUCUCGCCAGGCAUGCGGGUCUGGUAGUACAAUAUGCGCUGCCGGAAGGAACCGUGACCAAGUACCAGUCGCCAUGGGAGUGCUCCCAUGUGGUGAAGGAGUGCCUGGUGAGCUCUGCUCAAUGGAGGUGCGCUAUUGUGCCCUAAUGAAGGUGUAUGGAGACACAGUAAGAGACCUGCAACAAGUCAAAACACUUCAUCCAAGCACCCCUGCAACCGAGAAUAAUUCUCAAUAGAUUAUUAAAAAUAAAUAAA
ensembl:lncRNA